GAAAUGCGAUAAGUAAUGUGAAUUGCAGAAUUCAGUGAAUCAUCGAAUCUUUGAACGCACCUUGCGCUCCUUGGUAUUCCGAGGAGCAUGCCUGUUUGAGUGUCAUUUAAUUCUCAACCUCUUCCAGCUUUGUCUGGUUUAGUGGCUUGGAUGUGGGGGGAUUAAUCUUUGCGGGCCUCUUUAGAGGUCGGCUCCCCUGAAAUGCAUUAGUGGAACUGUUUGCGGUCCGUCACUGGUGUGAUAAUUAUCAACGCCAAAGACGACCGCUCUCUGUAGCUCUGCUUCUAAUUGUCCUUUACGUCGGACAACACUAAAUGAAUAUCUUGACCUCAAAUCAGGUAGGAUUACCCGCUGAACUUAA
rnacentral:misc_RNA from 1 species